CACUUCAUAAAAUAUUCAUUAGCUAGUUAGCUCCUUCCCCCAUUCUCUUUACUAUGUUUGCACGAAUUUAAUUUGGAAUUGUUACAACCAUUGCCACGUUUUUCAGCGUGGCUAAAUCUUACUCAUUCAAUCCCAGGGACCUAUAAAGUUCGAGAUGACAGAAUAUUAGAUGUGGGCUUGACGAUGCUCAAUAUGGCUUCUGGCGGAUAUAGUAGACAAUGAAGAUGAAAAGAGGCUUGAGAAUAGGAGUGAGAAGAGUUGGGACCUCGAAUCAGGGGACUAUCUGGAAACUUCUUACAGACGCAGGCAAACAUUGUUUAUAUUUUGCUGCCCCAAGUUCACUGUGACCUAGGUAAGUAUCCUAUGAAUCAAUACUACUGCAUCUUUUUUUUUUUGGUACUGGGGAUUGAACUCAGGACCUUGGGAGACAGGCGUGGUGCAACUGAGCUAAGUCCC
rnacentral:lncRNA from 1 species